rnacentral:rRNA from 1 species
GAUGAACGCUGGCGGCGUGCCUAAUACAUGCCAGUCGAGCGAACAGACGAGAGUGCUUGCACUCUCUGACGUUAGCGGCGGACGGGUGAGUAACACGUGGGUAACCUACCUAUAAGACUGGGAUAACUUCGGGAAACCGGAGCUAAUACCGGAUAAUAUUUAGCUUCGCAUGACGCAAUAGUGAAAGACGGUUCUGCUGUCACUUAUAGAUGGACCCGCGGUGUAUUAGCUAGUUGGUGAGGUAACGGCUCACCAAGGCAACGAUACAUAGCCGACCUGAGAGGGUGAUCGGCCACACUGGGACUGGGACACGGCCCAGACUCCUACGGGAGGCAGCAGUAGGGAAUCUUCCGCAAUGGACGAAAGUCUGACGGAGCAAUGCCGCGUGAGUGAAGAAGGUUUUCGGAUCGUAAAACUCUGUUGUAAGGGAAGAACAAGUACGUUAGUAACUGAACGUACCUUGACGGUACCUUACCAGAAAGCCACGACUAACUACGUG